ensembl:processed_transcript R74862 expressed sequence R74862
GCAGGAUGGUCCCCAAAACAACGUUCAAGGAGGGUGCGAGUACCCCCUUCAUAGCUGAGGGCUCUUGAUUACCUGGCUCUAGCCCGCAGACUCUUGCACCAGUUCCCAGCACUCAGAGGGGACAGGCCAGCAAUCCCCUGAUUUCCCGGCCCCAGAAGCCCCUCGAGCCGAGGCCCGGAAGCUCAGCCCUCGGCCCCAACCCGCUGGCGAGGGGCGCCAGGACCCCGAUCGGCGCACGGAGCCCACAGGUGGCGCCGCAACUUCGCGGUUGCGCUGCGCCUUCUCAGCAGGGCCUAGCGCGCUGCCCAGCCUGGCGACCGUGGGGUGCGCCCUGUCCCCAGUGGCUGCUCACCCAGAAGACGAAAUUGAAGACGAAGAGCAGUCAAAGAUCUGAUCUGUCCGUGGUUAAAGAUGUGAGCUUGCCAUGUCUUCCACUUGUUGCUAUGCCUUCCUGUGAUGAUGGACUCUCAUCCCUCUGGAACCAUGUUUCCAGAGCGGUCUAACCUGGGCAGGAGUGAGCACUUUCCAGCAAGUGGCCGAGUACUAAAAGAUGGCCCAGUCUAAAGAAAAAGCAAUGUUGGCUGCCUGCCUGCCUUCCCUGGGUCUGGAGCCAGUGUGUCCAUCUGCUGCCGCUGUCUUCUUUUGACGUCAGACUGAAGUUUCUUCAGCCUUCUCUAACAAGAACGAAACACCAGUGACUCUUGAGGAAUUUUCCAGGCCUUCAGCACCAGACCGAGACUGCUGAAGCGAUCAGCUUUUUGGACUAAACAGCCUGUUUAGUGUUGUAGGCCCUGUUUCUGAAUACCACAGUCAGAUUAAGUUUGUAUCCUUUUAAUCCUCACAACGAAGAUCAAACUUGGACACAACAUUAAACUUCAAUUCAACUACAUCCAAACCAUAUAAUUACUGAAGACUAACCUUAAAGCCAAAGGCAGAAGAGCACGGGGAGGCUGCCCUGGGAUUCACUGAAGUUGCCACUCAUACAGCUAAUUGCCAGGGGCACUCUGUGGAAUGUGACUUCUUAGGAAUCAUUUAAGAUCGCAUUGGGAGAUUGCAUUGCAAAAUUACAUGGCGUCCUGUGGCAUAUAAUAUGUGUAGCCAAUGUGUGGUGAUGCUUUCCCCGCAAACCAGAAUCCCCCAGCUGGAAGUCUCAGGAGUAGCUGUGGGGGCACCACUUCUUUCAAUAAGAGCUAAUGAACCAUUCUAGGAGUUAUGUAUGCUUCACACCUUCAAAGACAUUUCCCUGUGUUGGAACUCCUAGUAGCCAACAAAGGAAGAUCCUGGUCAGAGAACAGAAUGUGCAGCAGAGCUGGACACCCGGUGGCACCUGGCUGCUUUGGGAUCCUCCAUGCUGGGUUAAGAGACCCACAAGAGUGCUGGCUGAGUAGUGCUAAAAUGAAGAACUAAGGGUGCUGAUGCUCAUUCUAGGCAGGUUCAGGUAGGUUCAGGUUCAGGUAGGUUCAGGUUCAGGUUCAGGCUCUGUUGGCCCUCCACAGCAGUAACAAAAGAAAUAGCAACAAGAGUCAAGAAGAGAUUCUCCCAGGAAUGAAAAACUGGAAAACAAGACAAACCAUGAAUGGUUAAAGCCAUGCAGACUGUGACUUGGUAAUGAGCUGCAAGGAUGUGCAUUCUCUCACAGCAUACAGUGGGUGUUUUUUUGUUUUGUUUUGUUUGUGCUGUAUUGUGUAUAUUUUACAAUCUCUAUCUCACUUUUCUUCUUUUUUCUCUUCUGUCCCACCACCAUUGUGUAUGGUAUCCUAUAUUCCUUUCUCCUUCCCUCCUUUGCAAUCCCUUUCUGUGGUUUUGUUUUGUUGUUGUUGUUUCUUUGUUCAUUCAUUUGUUUUUGAAGUGGAGUCUUUCUGUUUAGUCCAGGCUGGCCUCAAAAUCACGAUCCUCUGGCCUCUGCCUCUUUGAGUUUGAAUUGCACGCGCACACACACACACACACACACACACACACACACACACACACACACACACCACCUUGUUCUGAGUGUUAAUUUUUGUCAACUUUACACAAACCUAGACAUAUCUGGGAAGAGGGAAUUUCAGCCAAGGAGUUGCUUGCAUCAGAUUGUGCUGUAGACAAGUCUGUGAGGGCAUUUUCUUGUUAGUGAUGACUCGGGGAAGGCUCAGCCUCCUGUGGGUGGAGCUCCCUCUGGGUUGUAUAAGGAAGCAGGCUGAGCAAACCACAAGGUACCAACUAGUCAGCAGUGCGCCUAUGUGGUUUCUGUUUGAGUCUCUGCCUCCAGGUUCCUGUUCCACUUGAAUUCCUGCACUGGCUUUCAUUGAUGAUGUAUUGUUACCUGGAAGUAUAAGCCAAAUAAAUCCUAUCCUCCC